rnacentral:miRNA from 1 species
UCUCAUCUGAUCUCGGAAGCUAAGCAGGGUGGGGCCUGGUUAGUACUUGGAUGGGAAACUU